rnacentral:tmRNA from 1 species
GGGAAUGCAAUAUUUUGGCUUUGAUGGUAAUGAUCUUUAAAAAAAGCAAGUUGAGCUAAUAUCUCACAAAACUAUUAAACAAGUAUAAGUGCAACAAACUUAUCUAAAAGAGUAGCAAGAGUAAAAGCCGCACUAGCUGCAGCCUAUGCUCAUCAAAACGCUGCUUAUGUUUAUGCCUAAACAGGCGUAAACCGUUUUUAUAGCUGAUUCUCAAUAAGCUAUUUAAGACGUCAUUUAUUGAGAUAGAUAAAUAAAAUAGAUGCUUACUAUUAAUUUAUUAAAAAAUUAAAAAAGCUAAUUUUAGGAUAUUUUGUUUGUUCUAAGUUCUAAAAUGAAAAAUUUAAACAAACUAAACUUGUAGAAAUUUUUACUGCAUCAUUAUCCAGACGGCGGUUCGAUCCCGCCCAUUUCCACAG